rnacentral:rRNA from 1 species
GACGAACGCUGGCGGCGUGCCUAAUACAUGCAAGUUGAGCGCUGAAGGUUGGUACUUGUACCAACUGGAUGAGCAGCGAACGGGUGAGUAACGCGUGGGGAAUCUGCCUUUGAGCGGGGGACAACAUUUGGAAACGAAUGCUAAUACCGCAUAAAAACUUUAAACACAAGUUUUAAGUUUGAAAGAUGCAAUUGCAUCACUCAAAGAUGAUCCCGCGUUGUAUUAGCUAGUUGGUGAGGUAAAGGCUCACCAAGGCGAUGAUACAUAGCCGACCUGAGAGGGUGAUCGGCCACAUUGGGACUGAGACAAGGCCCAAACUCCUACGGGAGGCAGCAGUAGGGAAUCUUCGGCAAUGGACGGAAGUCUGACCGAGCAAAGCCGCGUGAGUGAAGAAGGUUUUCGGAUCGUAAAACUCUGUUGGUAGAGAAGAACGUUGGUGAGAGUGGAAAGCUCAUCAAGUGACGGUAACUACACAGAAAGGGACGGCUAACUACGUG